rnacentral:rRNA from 1 species
AAGAUGGCGACCGGCGCACGGGUGAGUAACACGUAUCCAACCUGCCGAUAACUCCGGAAUAGCCUUUCGAAAGAAAGAUUAAUACCGGAUGGCAUACGAAUAUCGCAUGAUAUUUUUAUUAUAGAAUUUCGGUUAUCGAUGGGGAUGCGUUCCAUUAGUUUGUUGGCGGGGUAACGGCCCACCAAGACUACGAUGGAUAGGGGUUCUGAGAGGAAGGUCCCCCACAUUGGAACUGAGACACGGUCCAA